rnacentral:rRNA from 1 species
GAUGAACGCUGGCGGCGUGCUUAACACAUGCAAGUCGAACGAAGCACUUCUGAUUGAUUCUUCGGAAGAUUGAUUUAGUGACUGAGUGGCGGACGGGUGAGUAACGCGUGGGUAACCUGCCUCAUACAGGGGGAUAACAGUUAGAAAUGACUGCUAAUACCGCAUAAGCGCACAGUACCGCAUGGUACGGUGUGAAAAACUCCGGUGGUAUGAGAUGGACCCGCGUCUGAUUAGCUAGUUGGUAGGGUAACGGCCUACCAAGGCGACGAUCAGUAGCCGGCCUGAGAGGGUGAACGGCCACAUUGGGACUGAGACACGGCCCAAACUCCUACGGGAGGCAGCAGUGGGGAAUAUUGCACAAUGGGGGAAACCCUGAUGCAGCGACGCCGCGUGAGUGAUGAAGUAUUUCGGUAUGUAAAGCUCUAUCAGCAGGGAAGAAAAUGACGGUACCUGACUAAGAAGCACCGGCUAAAUACGUGCCAGCAGCCGCAGUAACAC